rnacentral:rRNA from 1 species
CCCGCUGAACUUAAGCAUAUCAAUAAGCGGAGGAAAAGAAACUAACAAGGAUUCCCCUAGUAACGGCGAGUGAAGCGGGAUGAGCUCAAAUUUGAAAUCUGGCUGGUUUACUAGUCCGAGUUGUAAUUUAAAGAAGCGUUUUCGGUGGCAGCCUGGGUAUAAAUCCUUUGGAAUAGGGUAUCAUAGAGGGUGAGAAUCCCGUCUUUGACCUAGUGCAUGCUACUAUGUGAUACGUUUUCAAAGAGUCGAGUUGUUUGGGAAUGCAGCUCAAAAUGGGUGGUAAAUUUCAUCUAAAGCUAAAUAUUGGCGAGAGACCGAUAGCGAACAAGUACCGUGAGGGAAAGAUGAAAAGAACUUUGAAAAGAGAGUUAAACAGUGCGUGAAAUUGUUGAAAGGGAAACGUUUGACACCAGUCAUGUGGGUGGAAAAUCAGUCUUUUGCAUUGGGGAGUUGUAAGGGUUCGGACCGCAAGGCCGGCUUUUGCUUCAUCUUUGGUGUAAGUGAUGCACUUUUUCAUCUACAGGUCAACAUCAGUUUCUUUUGCUGGACAAAACUCCGAGAGAAGGUAGCAGCUUAGGCUGUGUUAUAGCUCUGGAGCGAUACAGUGAAGGGGACUGAGGUUUUCGCAGCGUGUGCUCUCUACAAUGCCUGGCAUUUUGCUUCAUAAUGGUUUUAAACGACCCGUCUUGAAACACGG